GAGCAUCGUCAGCACUGCCUCGAGUGGGCAGCCUUGUUUUCCUGC
ensembl:scaRNA